ensembl:lncRNA
AUGUGUUUAGCAUCCAUGCUCAGUCAGAGUGACACUGCUCUCCCCAGUUACAACACUCUGUCAGUCUACUCUGGGGUUCAGUCGGCUCCUUCUUCGUCUGCCUCCUCAUACUCGUGCAUGCUGCCUCCAUCCCCGUCUGCCCCUCGUUCGUUUGAGACAUCAUACUCCUCUCCCCAUCUACCACCUCCUCCUUCAGCUAACACCAGCACAGGUGAGUCUACCAGCUCUUCAUUUACUGUCAGCUAAAGCCCUGUGCUAUCCAUCACAAGAUCCCAACAAUUACUGUUUGAAACACUUUCAAUAGCUCCUGUCUAUUUAUGGAUUUAGUUAUUUGUUUGCUGACAAUUUACUUAUCUACAUCCAAUAUGUAGAUGAGUUUGCUUCUUUAUCUUAACAGAUUUGGAGAAAUGUAGCAUUCCAUCACUUGCUCACCAAUGGAUCCUCUGCAGUGAAUGGGUGCCGUCAGAAUGAGAGUCCAAACAGCUGAUUAAAAACAUCACAAUAAUCCACACCACUCCAGUCCAUCAAUUUGAGAAGUGAAAAGCUGCGUGUCUCGAAGAAACAAAUAAUAGUAAUUGAUGGACUGGAGUGGUGUGGAUUAUUGUGAUGUUUUUAUCAGCUGUUUGGACUCUCAUUCUGACGGCACCCAUUCACUGCAGAGGAUCCAUUGGUGACCAAGUGAUGGAAUGCUACAUUUCUCCAAAUCGGUUCCGAUGAAGACAUAAACUCACCUGCAUCUUGGUGAGAGUGAGCUAAUCUUCAGCAAAUUUGCAUUUUAGACCGAAUUAUUAUUUUAUUGGAUAAAAGUGCAUUAUUUUUUUCUAUCUUUUUCUGCUUUAGGUUUGAUUUCUCCAGGCGUUUCUGUACCUGUCCAGGUACCAGGAAAUGAUCAAAAUAUGGGGCAGUAUUGGGCCAGACUGUAGUGAAAAGAAAAGGCGAGGUAGAAUUUGCAUUAGAAUACUAAAUAUGUAUGUUUACAAAAGGUCAGAAACAAAGAAAUUGUUCUAAACUCUGAGAAAAAUAAUCCUCUGUUAGUUAAACCUAUGAACAAAAUUCCUUAAUUUGAUUUAUUUUAGCCAUAGUAUUAGAUCUGAUGACAGUGUGCUAUAUUUUCUUCCAUUCAAUUUCGGACAAACAGGAAUGUAUAUGAUGAAGCAUUGUGCAAUGACAUUCGUGACGGUAUUUUUUUAGCAAAUGUCUCUUCAGAAUCAUUGUAAUAAGUUCCUGGUGUCAACUUCACAGAAUUGGGAAUCAUAGUAUGAUGUUUUAAUAACAUACCUGUGGUUUUAGCUUCUUUCAUGAUAAUUCCUAAUUUCUCCACUGUAAUUUUCUCUAAAGUCAUUUGUUUAUUUUCAUAAUCAGAUAUGUGAUAUCACUUUAUGAAAUGUUUUUGACCUUACCCUUUCACAAACCUCAGUAAGCUUGUGACAAUCAAGGCAUAAGGCCAAGUUCAAUCAGAGCAGGGACUGAAAGCCAGUCAUAUUUGCACUUAAUCAAUGACCAGUAAACAGCUGUUUGACUUAAACAAUCACAUCAAUGAAUACUUUAUGCAAAAAUCUCCAGCAUAUCUUAUCUGGCAAGCCAAAGUAUUUAUAUUGAACAUAGUGUCAUACAGUAUAUAUAUUUAUGACUCUGAAAAAAUGUUUGAAUAUUAGGAAACUGUCUCUGUGCUUAAACUACAGUUUAUGGAUUUUUUUUGUUUUAUGAAUUUAAAGACAUUCUGUGUGUGUGUGUGUGUGUGUGUGUGUGUGUGUGUGUGAAGGAGAGCGAGAGAGAAAUAAGGAUUUACAAUGAGGUAUGAAAGCAUUAGUGAAAUUGCUUCUUUUCAUUCUUUGAAAAUUAACAACACUUUUUUUUUUAUUUAAAUUUUAUUAGCACAGAAAAGUUGAACUGAAAAAUCAACAUUAAUUUCAGACUGUUCAGAAUCUUGCUUUUUAUUUAAUGACAGCCACGCUUAAAGGAAUGGUUCACCAAAAAUGAAAAUCUGCUAAAAAUUUGCUCAUCCUCAGGUCAUCCAAGAUGUAGAUGAGUUUUUCUUCACUGGAGCAGGUUUGGAGAAAUGUAGCAUUGCAUCACUUGCUCACCGGUGAAUCCUCUGCAGUGAAUGGGUGCCGUCAGAAUGAGAGUCCAAACAGCUGAUAAAAACAUCACAAUAUUCUGCAAGUAAUCCACACCACUCCAGUCCAUCAGUUAAUGAAUUGUGAAUUGAAAAGCUGUGUUUUUGUGAGAAACAAAUCCACCAUUAAUGUGUUUUAGCUUUAAACUGUUUCUCCUGGACAGAAUUCGAGUCCAUAAUUGAUAGACAUUAAUUGAUGUAUUUGAGUUGUGUGGAUUACUGUUAUGUUUUUAUGCUAAAUUUCUCUUAUUUCUCUAUUCCUUUAAACUGGUAUUUUAAAAUAUUUUGAUGUCAAUUUCUGACCCUACUGUACUGUAUGUGGAUGCUGUGUUCACUCAAGAUAGUCAACCUACUUCAUGUAUGCAUUAAACCCUUUAAUAAAAUAUAUAUUGUAUCUUACA